AUACGGAGGGUGCAAGCGUUAUCCGGAUUUACUGGGUUUAAAGGGUACGCAGGCGGUAAUUUAAGUCAGUGGUGAAAGCCUACAGCUCAGCUGUAGAACUGCCAUUGAAACUGAAUUACUUGAGUAUGGUAGAGGUAGGCGGAAUACAACAUGUAGCGGUGAAAUGCAUAGAUAUGUUGUAGAACACCGAUUGCAAAGGCAGCUUACUAAACCAUUACUGACGCUCAUGUACGAAAGCGUGGGGAGCGAACAGGAUUAGAAACCCUAGUAGUCC
rnacentral:rRNA from 1 species